AUUCUUGCAGGGAUAAUGGGAUUUUAAGCAAGUUGAGAUUAUAAAACAAUUGCAUAACAGUUGUUUCUAUUCUAAUGCAUAUAUAACCAAAAGAAAAAAAGAAAUAAAAUAAAUGCACUAAAGCUUCGAAAAUGUAUAAAAAUAAAAUUUAAAUAAAAUUCCGGGAAAUUUCACGAAUGAUUUGGCGAAUUUACGUCAUGGCAAAACACGACGUCAUACGAUUGAAAACUUUCAGACGGAAGAUUAUUUCGUUACUUGUACACUUGAAAUUCGGAUAGUAUCUAAUUAAAAUGAAGUUUUUGAGGUAGGUGCUAGUUCAUUUUAGAUUCUGUUGCAUUUAUCGAACAUUAAAGUUAUUUAGAGUCAAGAUGUCGGCGUACUACUUAGUUACGACAUGCCAUUGUGCUUCUGAUGGUACAUAUAGUAGCCAUCAAAGUAAUAAUGUAAAUUAAUAAUAGCGUAUGUUUGUCUG
rnacentral:lncRNA from 1 species